UACGGAGGGAGCUAGCGUUAUUCGGAAUUACUGGGCGUAAAGCGCACGUAGGCGGCUUUGUAAGUAAGAGGUGAAAGCCCAGAGCUCAACUCUGGAAUUGCCUUUUAGACUGCAUCGCUUGAAUCAUGGAGAGGUCAGUGGAAUUCCGAGUGUAGAGGUGAAAUUCGUAGAUAUUCGGAAGAACACCAGUGGCGAAGGCGGCUGACUGGACAUGUAUUGACGCUGAGACGCGAAAGCGUGGGGAGCGAACAGG
rnacentral:rRNA from 1 species